UACAUGUGGGGCAAGCGUUGUUCGGAAUUACUGGGCAUAAAGGGUGCGUAGGCGGCUUGUUAAGUCAGGGGUGAAAGUUUUCGGCCCAACCGGAAAAUUGCCUUUGAUACUGGCGAGCUGGAGUGCGUGAGGGGUGACCGGAACGAGUGGUGUAGCGGUGAAAUGCGUAGAUAUCAAGAGGAACACCUGCGGCGAAGGCGGGUUGCUGGGCUGACACUGACGCUGAGGCGCGAAAGCUAGGGGAGCGAACAGG
rnacentral:rRNA from 1 species